UAGGGAAUUUUCGCAAUGGGGGCAACCCUGAACGAGCAAUGCCGCGUGAGCGAAGAAGGUCUUCGGAUUGUAAAGCUCUGUUGCCGGGGAAAAAGGAAGGAAAGAGGAAAUGCUUUUCUUUGGAUGGUACCCGGCCAGAAAGUCACGGCUAACUACGUGCC
rnacentral:rRNA from 1 species